rnacentral:rRNA from 1 species
UUAGAGGCAAACGGGUGGACCCGCAAUACGUCGACCCGGGGGAUUCAACCAGGCCGUGCGUUCGGGACGCGUGGGGGUUUGCGGAGCUGUAAAGCCCGUGCCUUCGCGCAGGUCUCCGGGCGGACUGGUGCACUUUCCUCGGGUUGAUUGCCACGACCGGCUCUCCGUGCGGCCACAAGCCUUUGCUGGGAAGGUGACCGUCGGCCUCCGCGCCGGCGGUGUUAUAGCCCAGCUUGUUCGUUGAGCUCGUCGGAGGGCCGAGGAAGUGUUGCCGUUUCUCGUCCACCCUCCGGCCAUCCUUGCUCGUCACGACUGGGGUGAACUGCUCCGUCAGUGCUCUCCCGACCGCGAGCGUAGGAAGGGCUGGUACGGUGCGAGAAAGCUUCGGGCCAGUGGCGAAUCGGUCGGUCCUCCACCCGACCCGUCU